UUGUUAAAAACAUUGUUACAAACGUAAACACUUCGGAACCUAUCAAGGGUUCUUUCUUUCAGAUUUUUUCAUAUAGCCAUGGAAGAAACACCGGUGAGCAGCGAAGGAGCUGGAAGAGAAGUGCCGUUUUGGGGAUCUUUUAAGCUUGUGGACAUUCCCAUUGGAUUUUUGCAGUUUGGACACUGAACACAAAGGCCGGAUCAACAAUUGGACCAGAGGGAACCAUGGGACCCAAGCAGAAUAUAAAACGGAUGGCACAUAUGGAGAGUUAAAAGUGCUUUGUUUAAAUAAUUUACACUCACAUGGGAUCCAUCAACUGGGUAACACCAUGAUCUGAACGGCUAAAUUUUACCUAUCAGGGUAACACCAUGAUCUGAUUGGCUAAAUUUUACUUAUCAGGGUAACACCAUACUCUGAUUGGCUAAAUUUUUCUUGGU